GAAAUAUAGGCUAAUUACUAUAAACCAUGGGCCUUCAAAGCCCAAACUGUGAACCACUCACUAUUUCUGUAACUCCUAAGACUGCG
rnacentral:tRNA from 1 species